GGUGAGAUGCCCGAGAGGUUAAGGGGUCACGUUUAGGUGUUGACUUGCAUCAUGUCCUAGUUUUCUAGGGAUUAAAAACCGUGAUGCUUAGGCGCGUGGGUUCGAACCCCACUCUCAUCA